GGCUGGUUCAAAAGUAAUGAGUUAUCUCACUUGAUUGUUCACAGUCAGUUACAGAUUGAACUCCUUGUUCUACUCUUUUCCCACUUCUCACUACUGCACUUGGCUAGUCUAAA
rnacentral:Y_RNA from 1 species